rnacentral:lncRNA from 1 species
AAUGAUAUACUAUUAUUAGGAUGAUAGCUAUAUCAAGUAUAGAUCAUUAUAUGCCAUGUAUGUUGGUUGUCCUUUUAACUAAAGAGUGUGGAAACACUGACAUGAUAUGCAAGUGAGACGUAGGAGUACAUUUCACUGAAUGUAACCAACUGCUGAGCACUCUGUUGUCAAGAGUAGCUUACAAAAGAUAUGGAUAUAAGUGUCCCUCC